rnacentral:rRNA from 1 species
AUUGAACGCUGGCGGCAGGCUUAACACAUGCAAGUCGAACGAGUGGCGGACGGGUGAGUAAUGUCUGGGAAUCUGCCUUAUGGAGGGGGAUAACUACUGGAAACUGUAGCUAAUACCGCAUACCCUCAGAUGUGCCCAGAUGGGAUUAGCUAGUUGGUGGGGUAACGGCUCACCAAGCCGACGAUCCCUAGCUGGUCUGAGAGGAUGACCAGCCACACUGGAACUGAGACACGGGCCAGACUCCUACGGGAGGCAGCAGUGGGGAAUAUUGCGCAAUGGGGGCAAGCCUGAUGCAGUCAUGCCGCGUGAAUGAAGAAGGCCUUCGGGUUGUAAAGUACUUUCAGCGGGGAGGCGUUACCCACAGAAGAAGCACCGGCUAACUCCGUGCCAGCAGCCGCGGUAAUAC